GCUUAGGCUGAAACUCGCCUACAUGAAGCUGGAGUUACUAGUAAUCGCAGAUCAGAAUGCUGCGGUGAAUGCGUUCCCGGGUCUUGUACACACCGCCCGUCACACCACGGAAGUUGGGGGCGCCCGAAGCCGGAUAGCUAACCUUUUGGAAGCGUCCGUCGAAGGUGAAAUCAAUAACUGGGGUGAAGUCGUAACAAGGUAGCCGUAUCGGAAGGUGCGGCUGGAUCACCU
rnacentral:rRNA from 1 species